CCUACGGGAGGCAGCAGUGGGGAAUAUUGGACAAUGGGCGAAAGCCUGAUCCAGCAAUGCCGCGUGAGUGAUGAAGGCCUUCGGGUCGUAAAGCUCUUUUACCAGGGAUGAUAAUGACAGUACCUGGAGAAUAAGCUCCGGCUAACUCCGUGCCAGCAGCCGCGGUAAUACGGAGGGAGCUAGCGUUGUUCGGAAUUACUGGGCGUAAAGAGUACGUAGGCGGUUAUUCAAGUCAGAGGUGAAAGCCCGGGGCUCAACCCCGGAACUGCCUUUGAAACUAGAUAACUAGAGUCUUGGAGAGGUUAGUGGAAUUCCGAGUGUAGAGGUGAAAUUCGUAGAUAUUCGGAAGAACACCAGUGGCGAAGGCGACUAACUGGACAAGUACUGACGCUGAGGUACGAAAGCGUGGGGAGCAAACAGGAUUAGAUACCCUGGUAGUCCACGCCGUAAACGAUGAUAACUAGUUGUUCGGUCACUUGGUGACUGAGUGACGCAGCUAACGCAUUAAGUUAUCCGCCUGGGGNGGUACGGUCGCAGAUAAACUAACAAUAGAAUUAGUACGGCGUGAGACGUGCCGACGGACGACGACCGACGGGAGGUAGG
rnacentral:rRNA from 1 species